rnacentral:rRNA from 1 species
CAAGUCGAGCGGCAGCGCGGGGCUCAGGCAACUGAGCCCUGGCGGCGAGCGGCGGACGGGUGAGUAAUGCAUCGGAACGUAUCCCGAUAGUGGGGGACAACCCAGCGAAAGCUGGGCUAAUACCGCAUAUGCUCUACGGAGGAAAGCAGGGGACUUCGCAAGAGGCCUUGUGCUAUGGGAGCGGCCGAUGUCCGAUUAGCUAGUUGGUGAGGUAAAGGCCCACCAAGGCGACGAUCGGUAGCUGGUCUGAGAGGAUGAUCAGCCACACUGGGACUGAGACACGGCCCAGACUCCUACGGGAGGCAGCAGUGGGGAAUUUUGGACAAUGGGGGCAACCCUGAUCCAGCCAUGCCGCGUGCGGGAAGAAGGCCUUCGGGUUGUAAACCGCUUUUGGUCGGGAAGAAAGGGCGCCGGAUAAUACCUGGCGCUGUUGACGGUACCGGCAGAAUAAGCACCGGCUAACUACGUGCCAGCAGCCGCGGUAAUACGUAGGGUGCGAGCGUUAAUCGGAAUUACUGGGCGUAAAGCGUGCGCAGGCGGUAAGUUAAGUCUGAUGUGAAAGCCCCGGGCUCAACCUGGGAAUGGCAUUGGAAACUGGCUUGCUGGAGUGUGGCAGAGGGGGGUGGAAUUCCGCGUGUANCAGUGAAAUGCGUAGAGAUGCGGAGGAACACCGAUGGCGAAGGCAGCCCCCUGGGCCAACACUGACGCUCAGGCACGAAAGCGUGGGGAGCAAACAGGAUUUAAAUACCCUGGUAGUCCACGCCCUAAAACGAUGUCAACUGGGUGUUGGGGAAGCGAUUCCUUGGUACCGUAGCUAACGCGUGAAGUUGACCGCCUGGGGAGUACGGCCC